rnacentral:rRNA from 1 species
UACGAAGGGGGCUAGCGUUGCUCGGAAUCACUGGGCGUAAAGCGCACGUAGGCGGAUUGUUAAGUCAGGGGUGAAAUCCUGGAGCUCAACUCCAGAACUGCCUUGAUACUGGCGAUCUCGAGUCCGGGAGAGGUGAGUGGAACUGCGAGUGUAGAGGUGAAAUUCGUAGAUAUUCGCAAGAACACCAGUCGGCGAAGGCGGCUCA